rnacentral:rRNA from 1 species
CUGUCCUACGGGGGGCAGCAGUGGGGAAUAUUGGGCAAUGGGCGCAAGCCUGACCCAGCAAUGCCGCGUGAAGGAAGAAGGCCUUCGGGUUGUAAACUUCUUUUAUCAGGGACGAAGGAUGUGACGGUACCUGAUGAAUAAGCUCCGGCUAACUACGUGCCAGCAGCCGCGGUAAUACGUAGGGAGCAAGCGUUAUCCGGAUUUACUUGGCGUAAAGGGCGCGUAGGCGGGAUGGCAAGUCAGAUGUGAUAUCUAAGGGCUCAACCCUUGAACUGCAUUUGAAACUGUCGUUUUUAAGUACUGGG